UCUAAUACCGGAUAACACUCGCCGAGGCAUCUCGGUGGGUUGAAAGCUCCGGCGGUGAAGGAUGAGCCCGCGGCCUAUCAGCUUGUUGGUGAGGUAGAAGCUCACCAAGGCGACGACGGG
rnacentral:rRNA from 1 species